CUGUUCCACUCCUCCGGUAACAGCUUACUUCCUGUUCCACCGCUGAGAACGGAGAUCAUUAGUUAAGAAGCCCCCAGCCCAACAAAAUUAACGUGAGUAGAGGGAUUCAAACACUGGCUGCAUGGACACAGUGAUGUGCCAUCCACAUCCGCCAUGAAGGAAGGACUUACUGCCCAGCUGCCAGCCCUGCAGGGAUUGCUGUAGCUGAAGAGGUGGAGGGUUAAAGAGGAGGAGGAGAUUAAGCCUGGGCUGUUAUCACCAGUUUACCUCCCCAGGAAGCAGAGUCCAAGAUGGAGUUUAGUGGUAGGAUAUGUAUUAGGAAGCACGUUGAGACUGAUGGCUGUGGAAGGGCUCAAGGAGAGGGAGAAGUUAAGCCUGAGAUGCGGGCCCAAUGACAGCCUCAGCCAACCCCACAGUAAGCUCUGGAGCUAAGAUAGCCCAUCAGUGUUGUCCCACAUGGAGCUAACAUGGCCAGGCCUCUACGUCUCCUCUCCAUCCAUCACUGGACGUGGGCCACCAGGGAAGGACAUGACCUUGAGCUGAGAUCCCUGGCUCAGGAUUACCUGACAUUUAAAGGAAGUCUUGAACAUAAAAUAUGGAGAGCAAAGCAAACAAAUAGAAAAAGGAACUGGAAGAAACUGAGCUAUGCAGGACAUUUAAAAAAGCAACAUGUAAAAAAAGAAACUUAAAAUGAAUACACACAGAGUCAUAAGAGACAUUGUCACGUCCAUGAACCAAAGGCAGGCUGCUAUUUUUAAAAAGCACUAAGAACAAGAAAGAGAAAGAGCCCUGAGAAACUAAAAUUAUGACAGUCACAAUUGAAAAUUCCAUAGGAAAUUUAGGAUAGUCAACCAAGAUCGCCCAGGUGAUAAAUAGAAGGAAAGGAAAUAAAGUAAAAAGGAAAGAAAAGAACAAGAGAAUUAGAGGCUCAAUCUAUGAGAUUCACCAUCCAAAUAUGUGUAGUUCCAGAAAUCAAGAUUGGAAAAAAACAAGAGAAAGAGAGGAAAAAAGAAAACCUGCAGAACUGGAGCAUGUAAAACUUUGGAUGGAAAACAGCCAUUUAUAACCCAGCACAAUAAAUGAAAAAAGACACUCCACAAUAUAUCACUGUAGAAUUUCAGAACACCACAAUAAAAAAAAGAUUAUAAAAGCUUCCAGAGAGAAAUGGAAGAA
rnacentral:lncRNA from 1 species